rnacentral:lncRNA from 1 species
CUCUCUCUCCGCAAAAAGCAACGCACGGGAGCUUUCAGCAAAAGAAGCACAGCCUGAUAAUCUCUCUCUCUCAGCAAAAAGCAACGCACGGGAGGAGCCCAAGCGUCUCCUCUUCUUCCUCCUCCGUCUGUUCUUCUUCCUCCUUGGGCGGUGCUCCCGCCCCAGGGACCCGGCGGAGCUGCCUCCACGAGAGGGCUAACGCGGAUCUGCCGACCCGACAUCCCUCCGCCUAGCCUCGGCCAAUCCGCGUUCAAGAACUCCGACACCGCGGCGGGACGCGACUCCAGCGAGCUCUACUCCGGCGCUACCGAACGGUGGGGUGUCCAUGGCCGUCGACAAGUUCCUCUUCCUCUUUCAGCAUCGGCCGGGACCGUCUCUUUGCCGAUCUGGGUCAGUAAGUUUGACUUCCUCAGUUCCUCCCCCAAAUCCCAGCUCUCCCCCAUCCGCCACAGACCUGCCCAGCCCGGAGCUAGUGUUCACCCUCCUCACUGUCUCCUUCGCCUGGUGCGGGCGCGGCGUCGCCAACCUCGUUGCACUCUCCGGGACGCUUAGCCUUGUCUCCGACGCGUGGGAGGCCCACACCGACAAGAUCCUCCCGGUGCGUGCGUGCCGCUUCCGCGCGACCUUGCUCGCAGGCACAGUAUCUGGGGCGCGGUUGUUUGUUAGGGUGCACUGGUCAACAGGAAGAAAGGAUUUGGUGAUCCGUGUGGGCUAUAGCUAGCUUUAGGUCCCGUUAGUCUUCUUGUUACCUUAUUUCGUUAUUCUGGGUACUUCUUUCUGAAUGUUAGAAUGUUACAUUUGUUGGUUCUUAGUUGUCAAGUAACCCUCCUCUAAGCGCUGGGUUGUUGAUUUAGGAGAAGUAUAAACUUCUGGAAAAAACAUGGCAAGUAUAAUAUUAAGCGGGGUUGCUUGGAUUUUGUUUGGUUCGCAACUUCACAUACUUCUCAUAGUGUACACCAGUACAAAAAUCAUUUUUGCUGGCACGUUUUUUUUCACAGGCGGUUCACAAUAUCAUGGCGCUAGUAGAAAAAAUUCAGAGGGCCCAACAAGAAAACCUCCUGUGUAAACUUUACAUUUACACAGGCGGCUUACAAUAAAAACUGCCUGUGUAAAUACCAUUAACACAGGCGGCCGAGUUACGACAACCGCAUGUGUAAAUGUGUCUUUUUACAUAUGCGGUUUUAUAGAGGACCGCCUGUGCUAAUGUAUUUACACAGACGGCCCUCUUUAUGAGCCGCCUGUGCUAAGUCUGCUAUAAAUACCCUUCGUCCACCUCCAGACAAGAACAGUUACUCCCGUGAGCUCUGCACACUGGCGGACCACACGAUUCCAGUUUCCAAGGAGGGAGGUUUUGAUCUUCAUUUCUUUGGUGAGAAACUUCCAAAAGGUUAGUUAGAGCCCUUGAUGCUAUUUUUUUAGUGAUUCUUUGGUUCAGUUCUUGUAUUGCAGGUGCUCAAGAUCUUGAGUUCAUGAAGCAUUCUUGCUUAGGGUUAGGGUUCAUAGAGCAAGAGAGAGAGUUUUAGGUAAAUUUUUAUGUAAAUUCAUAGUAAAUUGUAAAAAUUAAAAAAUAGAAAAUAAAUACUUUUUAGAAUUCUUGUGAGUAGAUCUAUACAAUAGAGUAAUGAUGAGGACAUUUUGAAGUUUAUAAUUUUGAUUCAGUUUUAGCUUUUAUUUUUUCACAUGAAUUAGACUUUAUAAACUCAAACAUUAAAAUGUUGAAAAUCGUAAAGUGGCAAAUAAAUACUUUUCAAAUCUUUGUGCGUAAAAACUUCAUAAAAAUCCUUGAAUUAUUCCUUAAUUUUAUACAAUUGUUUCUUAUAAUUAUGAAAAUGAGUUUAAACAAUUAUUUAAAUUCCAUAAAUUGUAAACUCUGUAAGGGGUAGGUUUUCAUCUCUCUUUAAUAGAAGGAGGUUAGUAUCAUAGUUAAGUCUGUUUUCGGGGGUUAUAUUAGUUUUGUUUUUAGAUUGACCUACAUUAAUUGUUCUUAAGUAAUUACAGCUAAAUAUGGAGAGGUCAUUAUGGAUGUACAACUUAUCAAGAUUGGACCCAUCAUAUGUAGUGGAGGUCCAAAAAUUUAUUGAUGUCGCAAAGAUACAUGCUCGUAGAACAAAGGCGAAGCACAUAUGUUGUCCAUGCGCAGACUGCAAAAAUAUUGUGGUAUUUGACAAUGUAGAAGCAAUUACUUCCCAUCUGGUUUGCAGAGGAUUUAUGGAGGACUACUUGAUUUGGACAAAACUUGGUGAGGGUAGUUCUGCACCUUAUAUGCGGACAACUGACAACACUUUAACUAACAUCAAUGUGGAGGGUCCAAUGCCACCCCUCAAUGAAUUUCAUGCUAUGCCAGAUGUCAAUGAAACUCAUACGUCUGAUGUCAAUGAAACUCAGCAUGCUAACACAGAUGUUGUUGAAGAUGCAGAUUUCUUAGAGGCAAUAAUGAACCGUUGUGCAGAUCCAUCAAUAUUCUUGAUGAAGGGAGUGGAAGCAUUGAAGAAGGCAACAGAGGACACUUUGUACGAUGAGUCGAAAGGUUGUACCAAAGAGUGGUCGACAUUACGUGCUGUUCUUCAGUUUUUGACGAUGAGGGCUAGUCAUAGUUAGUCCGAUGCUAGCUUCAAUGAUUUCUUGCGUGUACUUGGAGACCUUCUUCCUAAGGAGAACAAAGUGCCUACUAACACAUACUAUGCAAUGAAGCUAGUCAGUCCACUUACGAUAGGUGUUGAGAAGAUCCACGCAUGUAGAAAUCAUUGUAUUCUAUAUCGGGGUGAUCAAUUUAAAGACUUAGAUAGUUGUCCAAACUGUGGUGUCAGUAGAUACAAGACAAACAAAGAUUAUCGCGAGGAAGAGAAUCUAGCCUCUGUUUCUACAGGGAGGAAGCGAAAGAAGACCCAAACAAAGACUCAACAAGACAAUUGCUCAAAGCCUAGAUUCAAUGAAAGAAGUGGACUAUUAUGCAUUGAGAAGAAUUCCUGCUUUGGUGAUAUGGUAUAUCCCCGUGGUUGAUCGUUUGAGGUGUUUGUUUGCAAACCCUGAAGACGCUGAACUUAUGACCUGGCAUGCUUCGGAUGAAAGGAAAGAUGAUGGAAAGUUACGACAUCCUGCCGAUGCAAAGCAAUGGAAAGAUUUCGAUAAGAAAUAUCCAGACUUUGCUGACUAUCCACGGAAUGUAAGGUUUGCACUGAGUACUGAUGGAAUGAAUCCAUUUGGCGAAAGGAGCAGCACGCACAGCACAUGACCGGUGAUCCUGACAAUAUACAACCUUCCUUCAUGGUUGUGUCAAAAGAGAAAAUAUCUUUUGCUAACUAUUCUUAUUUCUGGACCUACACAACCUGGAGUUGAUAUGGAUGUAUUUCUAGAGCCCUUAAUGCAAGACAUGCAAACACUAUGGGAAGUAGGUGUGGACAUGAUCGAUGCGUUCCGCAAAGAGACAUUCACACUGAGAGCAAUUAUUAUUGUCACAAUUCAUGAUUACCCUGCUCUCUUCUCAUUAUCAGGCCAGUUCAAGGGAAAGGUUGGUUGUGUAGAGUGCAUAGAUGGAACAUGGCACGUGUCUCUUCCUACAUCUAACAAGAUAGUGUACAUGAGGCACAGAAGAUGGCUACCGACAGGCCAUAAGUACCGCUUACAAAAGAUGAAUAAGUACUUCGACAAUUUUGAUGAAUCAAAAUCUACUGCUCCGUCAGGUUGUAGUAAAGGGCAUAGAGUGUACAAGAUAGUGGAGAAUGUGAAGUUUGUUUUUGGAAAGAAGACCAAAGAUGGGAAACCAAGAAAGGUUGUCAAGGCAAAUGAAGGGGACACAUUCAAGAAGUCCAUUUUCUUCAAGUACUUAUCGUACUGGAAAGACUUGGACGUACGACGUGCGAUCGAUGGUAUGCAUGUUCAGAAAAAUGUGUUUGAAAGCGUAAUUGGAACCUUGUUAGACAUAAAGAGCGAGACAAAGGAAGGUCUCAAUUCACGUUUGGACAUGCAACAUUUAAAGAUCAGAAAAGAACUUCACCCUGUACCCCUAGAGAAUGGGAAGUACCACCUACCGCCAGCAAGCUACAACCUGAACAGAGACGAGAAACAUGCAAUGUGUGUGUGGUUGAAGAAUUUAAAAGUUCCAUCUGGUUUCUGCUCCAACAUAAGGAGUCUUGUGUCAAUGAAAGACCUUACAUUCACCCAUUCAUUGAGCAGCACAUUAAAGAGCUUCGUGAGAAGAAUCCAGGAUGCACAAAUGAUUAGGUACACAAGGAACACAAGCGUCAGUUCACCACAUGGUUAAAGGAUUUGGACAUAACAGAGGAAUCAGAAACCAUUAAGAUGUUAGCAUCUGGACCAUCAAGCCAGGUCACAUCAUGGCAGAGCUAUGACAUUAGUGGCUAUUCAUUUUCCACCAGCUAUAGGGACACCAAGAGCAUGACACAGCGUUCGAUGCGAGGCUAUAGAUGAUGCAACUGGUGAAACAACUACAUACUUUGGGUUCAUUGAUGAUAUAUGGGAGGUAGAAUAUGGUCCACUCCUGCAGAUUCCAGUGUUCCGAUGCCGAUGGGUUCAAGAUAAACAUGUCACUGUGGAUAACUAUGGCUAGAGAGUUGUUGACCUAAGUAAAGUAAGUUAUAAAGAUGAUCCGUGGAUCCUUGCUAACCGUGCCGCACAAGUCUUCUAUGUGGAACAAAUACUUUCUAAGGAUGAAAAGAAAAAUAGCCAAAAGCCAAAGCAUACAGCUAUUCCUGGAAAGCAACAAAUUAUAGGAGUUGAUGGUGUAAUGGAUUUGGAGGAUGUUAACCAAUUCAGCGAGAUGUCUCUUUUUACAAACUUUCAAGAAAACAUAAAAAAUGUUGAGAAAAGUAUCCCACAAUACUCAUUGCCAUGGGUGCGCCACGAUGGACAAAGAAGGACUGUAGCACGCUAGAUUCUAUAAGUUGUUAUUACUCAUAUAACUCAUGUAUCACUUAUCAUUUAUACCUUAUGUUACUAUUUCUUAUUAAGCAACAUGUUUACAUUUUCCAUUUAUUUUAUACCUUAUGCUAUUUUAUAAUAUUUGUACAAUUUAUUACGGAUUAUUUAAUUUUUAAAACAAACAUAAUUAACAAACCAUUAAUCACUAAGUAAAUUAAUUAACAAAGCACUCCUUUUCUAUUUUAUAAUAUUUGUAUACAAUUUGUUACGGAUUAUUUAAUUUUUGAAACAACAUAAUUAACAAACUAACAAAUAAUUAACUAAGAAAUAAAUAACUAACAAACCAACCCUAACUAAGAAACCCUAAUUAACAAAUAACAAAUAAUUAACUAAUCAACAAUUAAUAAAUAAAUAAAUAAUUAACAAGUAAAUAAUUUACAAAUAUUUUUUAAUUAAUUAAAAAACAAAAGACAUGAUAUAUUAGUAGUGGCGGCCCUCAAUGAAAGCCGCCUGUACAAAUAUAUUAGUACAGGCGGACCUGAAGGAGAGCCGCUUGUACUAAUACGUUUGUACAGGCGGCGGUCAUUGAGGGCCGCCUAUACUAAUCCCCUCCUAUAAAAACCCUUAGCGUGGAACGCUAAAAUUUCUAAGUCCGGUGCCGCGAUUUGAUGAAAACGACGCCGUCAGGCUGCCGAAUUCCGCCGCCUCCGCGCCCACGCCGCCUCCGCCGCGAGCCGCGCCGCCGCGCCCUGCCGCGACGACCGUCGAAGGUUUUCCGCCACCGCCGCGCCGCCGUCACCGGAACGAGGACGCCGAGCUCCGCGCUGCUGGCGAGGUGAGCAGGGACGCGAGCCGCCGUGCCACGAGGCGCCGUGUCGUGCCGCGCCGCGUGCCGCCGUGCCGCGAGAUGCGGCGGCGGCAGUCGUGCGCGCGGCGCGCCGCCACCACUCCUAGCGCCGGCAGCAGCCAGGCAGCUGGCUUGCUAGCCCUGUCGGGCCUGGCAGGCCGCCCAGGCUGUCUUUUUUUUAUUUUUUUUGUUAAUUAAUUAAUAAUUAUUUAUAAAUUAUUUAUUUGUUAUUUAUUUAUUUAUUAAUUAAUUAUUGAUUAAUUAAUUAUUUGUUAAGUUAUUUAUUAAUUAGUUUUUAAUUAGGGUUUAGUUAUUAAUUAUUUGUUAAGUUAUUUUUUAAUUAUUUGUUAAGUUAUUUAUUUGUUAUUUAUUUAUUAAUUAAUUAAUUAUUUGUUAAGAAAUUUAUUUGUUAGUUUUUAAUUAGUUAUUUAUUUGUUAAGUUGUUAGUUAGUUAAGUGGGGUUUCUUAAUUAGGGUUAGCUAGUUAAUUAAUUGUUAAUUAUUUAUUUAUUUAAUAAUUUAAUAAUUAUUGAUGAAUUAAUUAUUUGUUAAGUAGGGUUUCCAAUAAGGUUUGUUAAUUAUAGUUUGUAAGUUAAUUGUUUAUAAAUUAUUUGUUUAAUUAGAUGAGUACUCCAUCGAAUGCUGAAGCCCAGAUAGAAACACAGGGAUCCGACACCUCUGGAUCCGACACUUAUAGAAGCCCGAGCGUAUCACCACGUGAAUCCCUCGGAGCUAAGAAGGCUCGUCUAGAGUUGGAACAUGACCCGACAUACGAGCCUCAAGCUGAUCCGGAUGAUGUGGUAUAUAUUGUAGUAGUGUCUAUACAAUAGAAUACAUGUGUAUAUAUGUAUGUACCUAACAAUUGAAUGGACAGGAGGUGUUAUCUCAAGUUGUUGCCGAAAUGGAGGCAGAAGAACAAGAUGUUUAGAAGGACACGGUGCCUCAAACGACUGGGACAUCCUCUGAGCCAAGAAGUAAAACAAAAAAGAGUGAUCGGGCACGAGGAGACAGAGGAAGGAAUAGAUUUCCAGAAGUUGUUUAUCAGAUUAUAGAGUUAAGUCCAAGCGGAGAGCCCUUAGCGCCUCUAGCGGCGCUACCCAAAUUUAGGGCCGCAAUUGGAAUUUUAGUAAAAGAGGAAUUUGAUAUCACUUGGAGUGAUUGGAGUAUGGUGCCACAAGUGAAAAGGACCAUUUGCUGGAAUCGCUUGUGCACUCGAUUUAUUUUUCCCGAUGGUACAAAUGAUUUGGCCAAGGGUUAUGUCAUGAAGCAGUUGGCAAUAUCAUUUCGGGGCUAUAGGCACGAUAUGAACAAAAAGUGGUUGCAGAAGGGACGGGACCCGACGAAGCGGUACCAUAUCACAGAGGCUCAGUUGGCACGUUUUCGUUUGAUGAGAGAAUCAGACGAUUCGAUGGCUAAGAGCAAAGCCGCCUCUGAACUCGCGAAGAGGAACAAGUAUCACCACCACCUUAGCACUGGUGGUUAUAAGACCAAGAUUCCUAAAUGGAGGACAGAAGACGAUGCAAAGAGGAGAGAGGGCCAUUUGUCAUUAACCAAUAUAGUGCGUGAAAGGAGUGCGAAUUGGCUUCGUGCUCAGAAGGCAAACACUGAGAGCGAUGAGAUGUCAUGUCUCGAUGAGAUUAGAGAAGUUGCCGACAAGGUUUUGGAAGCAUCAAACCUGGAAAAGAAAGGUGCCUUCAAGUCACAGAGGGAGAGGGACAUCCUUACCCAUGCUCUAGGUAACCCCGAGCAUCCAGGACGUGUAUGGGGAUUCUCCUCCAGAAUUAGUUGGAAAGAAGGAUUCGGUGAUGUGUGGAAAGGCAUGUAUAAGAAAAGAGACCGAUAUAAGGAGGAAAUGAAAGAUUUUUUUGAGCAGCAGGCUGCAAAAAAGUUUAGGGAUAUGAUGGAAGACUUCUUUACAAAUCAUGACCCUAAAGUGAUGAAGCGGUUGGCAGGAGCAGUGUCUGCUCAAUAAAUGUCCUCACAAGCUCCUUCGCAUAUGCAGCCUGUACCAGCUCAACCCUUGGAGCGUCAGGAGAUGGCCACACAAUCUAUGCCCUUUCCAAGCAGUAUAGCGUCAACAACAAAUAAGGACCAUUAUCCAGUUGAUGAUAUUGAUAGACCUUGGCCUUGCUCCUUGGUCAUAUCCUAUGGCCUUAAGAAUCAGCAUACAAAGCAAGUGGCCACCGGCAAUGCUAUCCCAGGACGUACAUUCCAUACUGUUGACAUGCAAGAUGCAUACUGUAGGGUGGAAGUGUUGACGGUCGAGGCCGGAUAUGAAGACGACUUCAUAGAUAUCCCGACCUCUGAGGGUAUAGAGAAGCUUGGACAAUCAAUCAACAACUUCAUACAAUGGCCGAGACGGUACGUAAGGUUGAUUGAUCCACCAGCGCCACCCUCUCCAAGCAUAGUGCCUCAACCAUCCCAAGAGGCCGAAACAUAUCAACAACCACCAUCACCAAUGCAUGCUCCAGCAUCCCCGUACAUUUAUGAGCCACCACCAUCCUCCCCAAUACAUGAGAUGGCAUUUUUGCAGAAUGAGCCCGAGGUGCCAGCCAAGGAGAACAUGUCUGAGCAGCAGACUCUGCCAUCCAAGGAGAAUAAGCAAACUCCCCCACCACCUCCAAAGGAGAAGGAGGAUGAGCAGACUCCCCCACCACCUCCAAAGCAGAAGGAAGAUGACCAAACUCCCCCAGCAGCACCGGCCUCUAAGAAGGUGAAGAAAUUUCCAAUUCCAAAAUUGAUUUCUCCCUUUGAGCCAAAAAAGGGGAAAGCAGCAGGCACAGCUCUCUUUCUGAAAGGACUUGGAAAGCAGCGAACGGCAUGGCUUAUUGAGCUCGAACCGUCACAGAAAAAGGAAGGCACCGCCCAGUCAAUAGAAGUCAUGCCCCCAUCAAAGGAAGCCCCAAGUGGCGAUGUACAUGUCAAACAUCCAUCAAGUCAACCAUUGACCCUAAAGGAUAUCAAAAAGCCAACGAUUGAUGAUUAUGUCAAUGUCCCUAGUGACUAUGGGCCCGGAAGGCCUAUGCUCCAAUGGACGCUGCUUGAUAAGAUUCAUUGGCCGAUAAAAAGGUUUCAUGACUGGUACAUGAGAGUAGUGCAUGCUUGCCUCCAUGCAAUCAGAGUUGAUAUACCAGCAGACGUGUUUGCUACUGGUAACGAAAAAAGCAAGGCAUUUGUUACCUUUGAGGACAUGCACUUGUUAUUGAACUAUAGGCGGCUUGACGUCCAACUCAUAACAAUCUGGUGUCUGUGUUGACAGUCCUUAAUGCUCACAUUUAACCAUCAACUAAUUAGGGAAAAGGAUCCAAAUGCAACUAACACCUAGACUUAGGGUUUUAUCUGAUAGAAUUCCACGAGUUUUGGUGUUUGUCUAUUUCUGCAGGGGGUUAUCAGGAAAUACGGAAGAAAGGCCCACACGUCGGGUUUACAUAGGGAUAUUAACUUGACGCGCAAUUAUCUACCAUCUAGAAGAGUCCAGAAGCCAGGGGAGCAAACGGGAGACGUGACAGGGCCGGGCACUGGGCGCCCGCCCUCCCCCCUGGACCAAUCAGGGUGAAGCUCGGGGAUCAUGCUCCACCGACCUAAUACUUCAAGGAAAACCACACGAUCAAUGUCGGUUUGAUCCGACGGACCAGAUUCAUCUGAAAAGAUUAUAUAAGUAAGGUCCCCUGGCCCCUGGAGAUCAUACCUCUUCUACAGAAUCAAAGUUAGGGUUUCAAUUCUUCAUCCAAGUAGUGAGGAUCCCUCUAGUUCUUCUAGUUCUACCUCUAGUUCAUCUAGACCUAGUUCUAGUUCAUCUAGUUCUAGUUCUAGUUCUAGUUCUAGUUAGUUCUAGUUGUAAUCUAGAAAAUUGGGAGAGAGAAGAGGAGAGCGGAGGAGGAGCCGGGUCUGUCGGAUCUUCCUCAACAUUGUACUUUUGCAGCAACUGGUUCGUUCUUCGUCAUUCUCCAGGUUCUUCAAUUCAUAAUUCCUGAGUUCUUUAAUUACUUUUAUUUACAUUCAAGUUAUUUAUUAGAUUCCUGCUUGCAUCAAGUGCUCUAAUCUUUGAAACAUUAGAGUAGUAAUUAAUAGAUUAGAAGUGGUGUUCAGUCUUGCAAUUACCUAGAAUUGCAUCCAAUCCUGCGGAUUGUUGUGGUAGCCUUAGGGUAGUGACAGCCCUAACGGUCGACGUAUUCCACCUCGUUCGGAUCAGUGUUUGUAGGACCGUAGCCGGAGCUUCAUAGCCCCCUUCUCAUCUCUUUCUUUGGUUAGUGUUCUGAUGUCCCGAAAUAGAUAAUCUUGAAGUAAUUCUUGAACCUUAGAUCAACUAGAGAACUCUCAGAAAACUUCCUCUCUUCUCACCAAAAAUAAUUAUAUAGUUAUCCUUGGGCGAUCUUGAAUCUUAAUUAGUACACUCACAUUCCCUAUGGAAAAUCGAUACUCUAGAAUACUCCUGGGUGAAGGCUACAUCGGUAUCCGUGCGCUUGCGGAUUUUUUUCUGUUUGCGUUUAAAAUACCCAACAAGCUUUCUGGCGCCGUUGCCGGGGAACGGUAGCUGUACUAGUUUCGAACCAAGUCGUCCGUGUAUCCUUUUUCUUUUCCUUUUUUACCACACUCACCUUACCAUUUUCACCAUACCACAUGGAUUUCACUCUAAGCAUUAAUGAGCAUGGAAUUUAUUUCAUAGCCACUCCAUUUACUCCAUGGUCAUAUGCAACAUCUUCACAAUCCAUUGGUCUCUCCAACAUCACCACAUUCGAGAUCUCCAACCCCCUCAUCCUUUCUAUUUAUAAAAACUUUAAAAGGGCUGUUGUCGAUGCAUAUGUCUAUAUUAAAUAUUGCAGAUCUCGUUGAGUUGAUCUUGAUAUAGGUCAGCGUUGGAGGGGAAACCACUUCGCCGACAUAAAUUGAUGGUUUCCCAAGGACAAGCUUAGUGUCCUAAAACAAGCACUGAUCAGAUCGUAACAUGAGCUUUUAAUUAUUUGCAACAUUACCUUGUGUAUUGAGCAUAUAAGGAUAAUUGUAAAAAAUUCCUUCGGGUAUUCGUGUCACUAACCUUUCUAUGAUUGGAGCAAGAAGAUCGGAUGAAUGACAAGCACAAGGUAUGUACAACCAAUCAUCAUACAACAUUGAAUUAAAUUCAUCCAAACUUGAAUUUUGCAAAAUUCAAGCUUGGGGGAGUACUUUAUAUAAAAACAUCAUUUGCCAUGUUGCUAUGUUGGUUGUCCCUACCUUUGAGACAUGCUCAAUUUGUUAAAUAGUAAUCACACUACUUCAUCUCCACUUGAGUAGAUCUCUAUAAAAGCCAUCACGCUACCUUUGUUUAUCCUAGUAAGUGUUAGUUUGGAAGUACUGUACAUACUUCUAUUGGUUUUUAAAUUAAGCAUGGUGCUUAGGUUAAAUAGCCUUCCUUAAUCUAAUUAGACAUGGAGUCUAGUUUGGUUAUUGAACUAAAAACUGCUCGUGUAGACAUUGGUAUAUUUUGUUGGACUAACUCCUGUAGGAAAACUUUCAAUAUCGACCAGGGAAGUCCUAACAUAAACUCACAUUGGAGACAAAGAGAGACACACAUGAAGUUUAACAAUUUACACAAGGAAGGCAUAGCUCACAACAGAUGAUCCAUGGAGGGUGCCACAAACACAAUGCACAACCGCUAAGAGAGGAAACCUUCCACAAGGUGAUACUGUACCAUCACUCUUCAAGUAAGGUAACAUCUUAAAGUACUUGACUAUCACUUCUAUAAGCUUCUCCUUGGUUCUGGCGUUCACAUGAAUAAAAGAUACAAACAUGUAUGAUCUACAACUCUAGAUUAACCAACCCAAUCGAUUCAACAUGUUUAGUCCUUCCACCUUUGUGAUUCCACACUCCUAAUCAUAUUAGCUAAAAUGUUGCACACUCAAUCUUUGGAAAAUAUAAACAAAACAUAUAUAUAUAUAUAGAUUAUCUUUCUAAUCUGACAAAUGUUAAAUACUACACUCAUGAUUUUAUUAUCCAUCAACUUUGUCUUGCUCAAUAUACUUGAGGUUAGAGAAGAACAAAUACACUUUUGGUUCUAUUGGUGUUUUCCACCAACAGGGCCCAUGCACUUGAUCUCUGCCUUGUCUCUAUGAGUAGGUACACUUUGAGCAAAAUAUGAAGGACUAUUACAACUCCCAGACUCCACCAAGUGAAGAACCUAGAUAUAUGAGCACAAACACACUGGAGAUACUGAAGACUCAUGUAAACAUUGCCCUGAGAUGCUUGAGGAUGUAACUACUGGAGUAACCCUGUUGUGGAAGUAAUUACUGACCUUCUGCCGGUAAAGAGAGACAAUCUAGGACGCCCCGUCAUCCUGAUCUCCAUCGGCAUGGUGGACUUCUAGAAGCACUCUGCGACUUUGGCUCCAGCGUCAACAUUAUACCCAGGGGAGGCCAUUCCUGAACACCUCGGGAGCUGUCAUCUACGCUAGUGCUGCCAAGAUCAGUUUCUACAUCAAGGGGAAGAAGGAGACGUUUUCCUUCAAGAAACAAGACUACACAAAUCCUAGAGCAAUCCCGACAUGAACCAAGGAAGAGGACCAACAGGAGGAACAAGAACAAUCAAAUGUGUACCGAGUCAGCUAAGAUGGUCACUACAGCUCAAGGAGGUCAAGAUCGUCAACUCAAGUCACCUUUCUUGAUCAAGAAGGACGACUCUGGUGUUCCAAGCAUCGAGUGCACAAUCAACGGAUAUUCUUUUCAGAAGACACUCUACGACACCGGAUCUAACGUCAACAUAAUGGCCGCAGUCACUUAUCAGCUCCUUCAUGGAACCAUGUCCCUACAACCAACUUACAUUCAGCUCCAGAUGAUUUUAAGGUUAUUGACAUGGGAGAAGACAAGUAUGAUCCUCCAUCAUCCUUAGGAGACCGUUCCUCAGCACCGUUAAAGCAAUCAUCUACAUUGGAACCCGAGAAGUCCACAUGCACUUCACCUCUGAGAAGGUACGCCACUAUUUUACUGACCCUAACUAUAGAGUUGAAGACUCUAAGCAGGUCGGGACAAGAAGGAGACGGCGCAACCGCAACCAGAGAAGGCAAAAUCAUCAAGGAUGGAUGGGUAGAUUAUGAUGGAGAAGUUGUAAGGUCUGAAGACAUAUAACUUGAACAGAACUAUCCUGAGGAGACCGUAGCACCGAGUCAGGUGUGGAGAAAGAAGAUAGUUAUACAUGAAGAGCAGGCUCCACCGGAACCACCGACUACGCCAUCCAGCGAAUCCCAGGACGACUGAGAAAAUGGAGAGUCCCGUUCGGAGGACUUAAAAACACCGAACGCCUUGCCAAGAGGUAAACUUGGUAGUUAUCUUUUUCCUUUCAACUAUUUAAAAUAGUUUGCUUAGUUAAUCAGGUUCAUAUCAUCUUGAAAAGAAAAUAAAAAUGUUAAAAAUAGUAAGCCCCAUGUGAGUAUGCUCAUGGCAUAAAACCCAUAAGUACAUCCAUUGUGGUGGCGUAAAAAUGAUAUAAAUACAUUCCUAUCCUAUAAAAAAUAAAAUUAUAAAAAUAAAUUUAUGAUCCUACUAAAGAGAGUAAUAUUUAUUGAAGAGGCUCAACAUGAUAAAGGCUAGAUAUUUAUGCUAACACUUAACUAGUUCCACAAAGCUUUGUUGUCUAUUUGAGCUCCACAGAAUUCAAGGAUCAAAGAAGACUAGCAGACGGAGGACAUCCUAAUCGCUGCCAGGGUGCUGCUGACAUUCAAAUACACCUCCACCACUUGCUAGCUACAUUAGAAGAAACUACAUCAAAAUCCAGCUUGGGGGAGAGCACCCCCAUUUAUCCAGCAAAGUGUUUUACUCACGUUUAUACUUUACUCAAAUAAUGAAAAGAUGCAUAAUCAUAAAAAUCCAAAUAAAGAUUUUGUGCUUAUAUAUAUCUUUGCUUAGUUUGCUAAAUAAAUAAAUAAACAAAGUUUGCUAUGAACCCUCAUGAUAAGCUCUCACAUGGAAAUGAUGAAUAGUUGCUCUGCCAUGACUAGUUCUCAAAAUUGAAAACUCUCUCAAGUUUAGGCAUGACUGGUAUUAAUUAAGAUUUGCUCUAAACCUGAAAUUGUGGGAAGAGUACUUGAUCUAAAGUCUAAGUCGUUAAUGGAUAUGAUAUGAGAAGGUUGAGCGGCUAUUUAUCUAUUCCUAGAGAUGCUAGAAUUCUGGAGAAUUUUAUCUUUGAAAAUCUUUAAAAUGUUGCAUGAUGAGUUCCUGUAUGAUGAGAGUUUAAAUUCCUACCACAGCCAUAUAUACAUGCUUGUUAGACUAUGAACCACACAUUUACUUUUUACUGCUUAUGAGCAUUGAGUGUGGUCAAGCUGUGUAGACCCUUAGGAGCUUGUCAUGUGGUUAAAUCAAGAUUCACUUGCACGUUCACUCACACAUGCUACUUCUACUCCAGAAGUACCAUCCACAUAUAUCCAUCCAUUUCCAUGUACAGAACCACCCAAAAAUAUUCUACUCCUAAUCCGGGAGAGAAUAGCCAAAAACAUUCUCCUAUUUCUGUUUUUCCCUAUGAAAAAAAUACUCAAGUUAUCUUGGUUACUACCACUUGCUAUAUUAUUUUAGGAGAUGAGUGCUCUAAAAAAAGAAAGAAAGAAAAAAAAGAAAGAAUGCGAGGAAAUAAAAAGGGGCAACUGCCCGGAACCUCGAAAGAAAGAAAAAGUGAGACGAGAGGUAAAAAUGGACAAGUGUCCGACAGUAGAAUUAGGGGUACAAGAUACCCACGUGAGAGAAAAAGAAAAUAUAGAGCAUCUCAUUCUCCUCAAAAAGUUUCAAAAGAGCAAGAAAGGUAUGUACCGCCUCAAAAGAGCAAAAGUAGGAUUAUACUUUCACCAUUGUUAUUACCAUCAUCACCAUACAUCAUUCAUUCGCCACACAUGCACAUCUUGAUUUGACUUAUUGACUUGUUCUUCUGGAUCCAUGGUUUGACUAUGCAAUAAAUGUCUUGUAAGUAUGUAUUAGCUGUCUCCCACCUAUGAGCUCUAGAUAUCAAAACCUUAUUAGAGUAGGGUGAGAGAGAAGGCAAUGUCACUAUGGCUCAUACCAAAAAUACCACAUACUUUGAGAGAAGGCAUACACCUUUACUGCCUUGGUAAGGAUCCAGAAAUACCACAAAAGAGAGACUAGAGAGUGUCAUACAAGGAAUCUCUGAGUUUUAUUUGAAAAUCUGCAAAAACUCCAGAGCUAUAGUUAAUCGAAGAACAAGAGACAUGGUGCUUGACUAGACCGUUCUAUCUUUUAACUGCUCAAGAUAUAAGUGACAGUUGCAAGCCCCAUAGUGAAAGGUAAAAUGAGUAAGUUUUAAAUCUUAACAGUUUACCCUAACAUAGAGAUGAGAUCCUGUUUGAACGCAUGUGUAUCUUUAAGGCAUGAAACCACUGCAGAAACUCUUGAGUUCAUCUUUGCCCAGGGAGGAGCAAAGGUUAAGCUUGGGGGAGCUUGUUGACGGUCCUUAAUGCUCACAUUUAACCAUCAACUAAUCAGGGAAAAGGAUCCAAAUGCAACUAACACCUAGACUUAGGGUUUUAUCUAACAGAAUUCCACGAGUUUUGGUGUUUGUCUAUUUCUGCAGGGGGUUAUCAGGAAAUACGGAAGAAAGGCCCACACGUCAGGUUUACAUAGGGAUAUUAACUUGACGCGCAAUUAUCUACCAUCUAGAAGAGUCCAGAAGCCAUGGGAGCAAACGGGAGAUGUGACGGACAGUUCCCUCUACUUUCAUGAUGAGUGUCCAACAACAUUUUUUGUAUUUCUGAAAUGAUAUGUAGUUUUGGAUGUGAAUUGCACAUUAUAAGGUCAUUUUCUGGUGCAGACUCCAUAAAUGGUUUACCUGAAAACUAUCGUAUGAGUAUUCUGUUGCCAUAUGCUAGAAAUUCGGCUCUAGAAGGUAUGCUCCCUGAUUGAUUUUCCUGCUAGCAAUUUAUAUGAAUAGUUACACAUAGUUCUCUUUCUGGUGAACUGAACCGAGCACAAUUUUUUUUAUGUGUAAUUUCCAGGGAGACCAAAAAUGAUAUAUUCCAUGCCAUGGGAGCCGUGUGUGCAGCGGUGCUGUUCAUAGUUAUUAUUGAGACCACUUUUGUUCAGCCUGUGAUCCGCAUCGAAAGAUUUGUAUUAUAUGAAGAGCGAGCUGCUGGAAUGUACUCAACAUUUCCUUUUGCAUUUUCUCCGGUAAUUCAUGUUAGAGUGUUCACUACUACAGAAUGAGGCAUUGUUCGAUGCCCAAAAUGGCCAAAAACCUCGGUCUUUUUGCGGCCCGGGGUUAAAGACCCCUUUAGCACCGGUUCGUAACACGAACCGGUUCUAAAGGGUCCUGCCCAACGGCUACGGACAGGUGUUGUCGGGGCAGGGACCCUUUACCACAGGUUCGUGUUACAAACCGGUGCUAAAGGGUCCCCUUUAGCACCGGCCAGCGCCACGGGCCGAGGCAAACCCUUUAGCACCGGUUUGUGUUACAAACCGGUGCUAAAGGGUCACUCUUUAGCACCGGUUUUUGCCCUGAACCGGUGCUAAUGGUCCGGUUUAUAGGUCAGAUCCUCUCUGCCCAUUUGAAACCGAGAGCACCAUUCACCAUUGUUGUUCUUGGAGCUUCUUCUUCCUUGUUCUUCAUUUGUUCUUCAUCUCCGACGCCCAUCGUUAAUCUUCUUUGACUCCGUCAUCGUUUCUUCAUGUUUGGAGGUGACUAACUUUUGUCUUUCUUGUCUUUUUCAUGUUGUUUUUGGCUUGUGAUGUUCCCAAUAUUUUUAGCUCAAAUCCACUUUGUUAUUUUGAAUCAUUCAAAUGAAUUAGUAUCCAUAUAUAUAUAUAUCAUAUUUUAUGGUUGACCUAGUAUUAAUGUAGUUUGCAAGAAUGAAUUAUAGUAUCUUUUUAUGAUCUUAGAAAGUAGGAUAGUUCAAAUUAAUUGGUUUGUUAAUAUCACUUGAUUUAUUUUUAUUACUACAUAUUGUCCAUUGUAUCAUACAUGUAUAGUAGUAAAUGUGGAAUUUAUAAUUGUUUAAAAAAUGAGUAUGGAUAGUAGAUGGCAACCGUGACCAGAUCUUCGUUCUCUCAACGGGUUCAAAAGCGAUACCGGCCGGAACUCCCUCUCAUUACUUGUGGCAAGUGUGGGCAGAAGAUUGUGAUGGAGUACAAAGUGUCGAAAGAGGGUGUAAACAAGGGUCAUAUAUUCUACAAGUGUCUGGAUCGUAAUGUGACUUAUUUCUAGACAUUUGCUUAUAUAUGUGCAUAUUUUUUUAAAUGAUAUUAAUUAAACUUUUGAUUCUCUCUUUUGAUUUCAGUGGGACGGUACCGGCGGAUGUACAGGUUGGUACUGGGAGGAAGAAUACAUUGAACACAUUAAGAAAUCUUUUGCAUAGGUGGUUGAGGCUGAAGGUGGUGAGGCACUGAGCCGACGAAAGGAGUUCAAUGAUGUUGAUCAAGCGAAUGAUCUAUCUAUUAUAGUUGGGAUCGGAUGCGAACUAAUUAUGUUGCUUAAGUGCAUUUUAGUUUUGGUUUUUUUAGUGCUAGUUGCGAUUGUAUUUGUUGUAGCCAAGCUUUCCUGAAUUAAUCAACUAUGUAUCUUAGACGUGUUGUGCAAUAAGAUGGGAAACUAUAUGUGUGCAUGGUUUUCAUAAUAUAUAUGUUAUAUUUAAUGCAGAUGGUAACACGUAAUUGGAUGUAUAAUGCCGAUCGGCGCUCCGAAGAGUUCAUUAAUGGCGUGCACUAUUUCUUAAGUGUGGCCGAGACAAAUAAGAG